CUCUCCCAACAUGGCGGCCUCAGCAAAAAAGAAGAAUAAGAAGGGGAAGACCAUCUCCCUAACAGACUUUCUAGCUGAGGAUGGGGGAACUGGUGGAGGAAGCACCUAUGUCCCCAAACCAGUCAGCUGGGCUGAUGAAACAGACGAUCUGGAAGGAGAUGUGUCAACAACUUGGCAUAGUAACGAUGAAUGUGUACAGGGCACCUCCUAUUGACCGCUCCAUCCUUCCCACUGCUCCACGGGCUGCUCGGGAACCCAUUAUUGAUCGGAGCCGUCUUCCCAAGUCACCACCCUACACUGCUUUCCUAGGGAAUCUGCCCUAUGAUGUGACAGAAGACUCUAUUAAGAUUUUUUAGAGGAUUAAAUAUCAGUUUGUGAACCCAGCAAUCCAGACAGGUUGAAAGGUUUUGGCUAUGCGAAUUUGGAGGAUCUGGAUUCUCUGCUCAGUGCUCUGAGUCUCAUCUCUAGGUAACAGGAGAAUUCGGUGUUUGAUCCUUUUGGUCGAGAUAGAAAUCGGAUUCUGACAAGACAGACACAGACUGAGGGCCUCCCUGCCACAGACAGCUUUGAUGACUACCCACCCUAGACGUAGGUGAUGACAGCCUUCGAGACAAGUAUCGAGAUCGUUAUUAGUCAGACCGGUAUCGGAUGGGUAUAGGGACGAUAUCGGGACGCCCACGCAGAGACAUGGACCGCUAUGGGGGCCGGAUCGCCAUGAUGACCGAGGCAGCAGAGACUAUGACCCCAGGCUAUGACCCAGGAUAGGCAGGUAGAAGAGCAUUUGAAGUGGGUACCGAGGGAUGAACUGAAGAUGACAGACGGACGAUCGGGUCAUGGAGCUCCAGGACGACAUUCUCCGGACGACACACAGGCGUGAUGAGAGAGUCCCCCCAAAGACCCAAACUGAAUCUAAAGCCUCGGAGUACUCCUAAAGAAGAUGAUUCCUCUGCUAGCACCUCCCAGUCCAGCCGAGCGGCUUCUAUCUUUGGAGGGGCGAAGCCUGUUGACACAGCUGCUAGAGAAAGAGAAGUAGAGGAGCGGCUACAGAAGGAGCAGGAGAAGCUGCAGCGUCAGCUGGAUGAGCCAAAACUAGACCGCCGGCCCCGGGAGAGACACCCAAGUUGGCGAAGUGAAGAAACUCAGGAAAGAGAACGGUCGAGGACAGGAAGUGAGUCAUCGCAGACUGGGACCUCAGCCACAUCUGGCAGAAAAUACACGAAGGAGAGAGAGAGAAGUCUCUAGAAAUGAAACCCAAUAAAGAAGACGACUGUCACUCUCCAACCUCUAAGCCUCCUAAACCUGACCAGCCUCUAAAGGUAAUGCCAGCCCCUCCACCAAAGGAGAAUGCGUGGGUGAAGUGAAGCUCUAACCCUCCUGCUCGAUCUCAGAGCUCAGACACAGAGCAGCCGUCCCCUACAAGUGGUGGAGGGAAAGUUGCUCCAGCUCAGCCCUCUGAGGAAGGACCAUCAAGGAAAGAUGAAACUAAAGUGGAUGGGGUGAGCGCCACCAAAGGCCAGACUGGACACUCCAGCCGUGGUCCUGGGGAUGGAGGGAGCAGAGACCACUGGAAGGAGUUGGAUAGGAAGGACGGCAAAAAAGAUCAAGACUCCAGAUCUGCACCUGAGCCAAAGAAAUCUGAGGAGAACCCAGCCUCUAAGUUCAGUUCUGCAAGCAAGUACGCUGCUCUGUCUGUGGACGGUGAGGAUGAGGAUGAGGGAGACGACUGCACUGAGUAGACCUCCACACCCUGUGCUUUCUCCUUGUCUCCACCCUGGAACAUUCAAGAGCAAAUCAAACCUCUAUCCAGACAAGACAAAAUAAACUCACCAUCUCCUGAAGACCUUUCUAAA